UACGAAGGGGGCUAGCGUUGCUCGGAAUCACUGGGCGUAAAGGGUGCGUAGGCGGGUCUUUAAGUCAGGGGUGAAAUCCUGGGGCUCAACCCCAGAACUGCCUUUGAUACUGGCGAUCUCGAGUCCGGAAGAGGUGAGUGGAACUCCUAGUGUAGAGGUGGAAUUCGUAGAUAUUAGGAAGAACACCAGUGGCGAAGGCGGCUCACUGGUCCGGUACUGACGCUGAGGUGCGAAAGCGUGGGGAGCAAACAGG
rnacentral:rRNA from 1 species